GGUACAUUUGGGAGAGUGCACAGGAGUGAUGGUGACAGUGGCAUCAGAGCCUCAAAAAGUGGAUACCCCCUCUCAAAUGAAAAAUUCCAAAGGAAACUUUUUGGAUUAAUUUUUGAUCUAAAAGAUGACAUCAAAAAGUUAACUGCCAUUGUUGACCCUGGGAAGUCGUCUUCAUCCAUUAAAAAAAUGGAGUCAGAAGUAGACCUUCAGUUGUUUGAAGAAUCCUUAAAUGAUGAGACAAUGUGGCUC